GCCUGGGUGGCUCAGUGAAGUGUCUGACUUCAGCUCAGGUCAUGAUCUCGCGGUCUGUGAGUUCGAGCCCCGCCUCAGGCU
rnacentral:tRNA from 1 species